GUGUCCUGGUUGUUUGCAUCUCCAGCAAAUAGUUUCUGAUCUUGGAGUUUUUCUCUUAUUAUGGUAUAAUGGACGAUGUAAUAUUGUUUCAUCUGGUUGUUGGUAAGUAUCUCUACGUCUCCAUCUAAUCUGUUCUUUAUUGCUUUCGUCACUGUUUUGUCUCAUAGCUUGAAUCUCAGUUGUUAGUUGAUUAAUUCUUGCAGUAAGCUGUUGUAUCUGUUUAUUUUCUCUGUUGUUAUCUGCUGUUUCGGUUUAAUGGGUGAUUUCUUUUCUGGUGUGGUUUCUUUCUUUGGUCCUAGAUUGUGUUCCUUCUCUAUAAUUCGAAAUGUUUUUAACAGUAAGUCAAACUCUUUGACAGAAUCCAUUUUGUAUCUUCCAAUGUUCUUGAUGUCAGGUCUAAGUCCUUCAAAGAAUUUAGAUGUAAGCAUACUGUUCGUAUCCUUUUG
rnacentral:lncRNA from 1 species